GAAUAGAAAAAAUUAUUAAGAUUAAUAUUUAAGCUAUAUUUGAAUAAAGUAAUUUAAAUUUUAUUAUUAAUAAGAAAAAAUUUUAUUUAUAAUAGAUAAUUAGUAUUGUAAAAGAAAUUUUUUAUAUAUUUUUAAGAAAAAUUUAAAAUUUGUACCUUGUGUAUCAGGGUUAAUUAAAUUAAAUUUUAUUAUAAAAGUUUCCCGAAUUUAAAAGAGUUAAUUAUUUAUAUAUUUAAUUGUUAAAUAAAUUUUUAUAAUAGAUAAUUAGAAAUGAAACGUUAUUCGUUUUUAAAUAUAUCUGGUUUUUAAAGAAAUAAAUUUAAUUUAUUAAUUAAUAUUUAAAAUUUUAAAUAUUUAAUAUUUUAUUUUAUUAAUUAAUAAUUAUAUUAGGGAUAAGCUUAGUAUAAAAUUUCUAUAAUAAAUAGAUUAAAGAAAUAAUUUAUAAGAUUAAAAUUUUCUAUAAAUAAAAAAAUGUUAUAAUUAAUUAUUUUUUUUUAAUAUUUAUAUUUAAUUUAGGUAUUUAUUUAAAUUUAUUAUAAAAUUUAAAAUUAUUAGGAAUAAUGAUUAAAUUAGUAAAUAAUAAUGUAUAUUUAAUUUAUAAGUUUAGGUUAAGUUAAGGAAUUCGGCAAAAGAUUUUUCACCUGUUUAUUAAAAACAUGUCUUUUUGAUAAUAAUUUAAAGUCUAAUCUGCCCACUGAAGAUUUGAAUGGCCGCGGUAUUUUGACCGUGCAAAGGUAGCAUAAUAAUUAGUUUUUUAAUUGAAAGCUGGAAUGAAUGAUUGAAUGAGAAAAUAACUGUCUCAGUUUAAUUUUAAUUGAAUUUUAUUUUUAAGUUAAAAAGCUUAAAUAAUAUUAAAAGACGAGAAGACCCUAUAGAGUUUUAUAAAUUAAUUUUUUAAGAUUAAUAGUUUUAAAAAUUUAAAUGAAUUAAAUUUAUUUUGUUG
rnacentral:rRNA from 1 species